AAAGUAGUUAGAAAGUAGAAACAGUCAGAAAGGACGAUGUCACAGGAGUCUCAUUGAACCAAGAAAGGAUGGCAUUUCUAUUGAUGAAUUCAAGAAAUGCCAUUUCUCUGAUACCUUCGCUGUUUGUUCAGUUGAUAUCCCCGGAGGAAAGUGGCUUCACCUGGUGCUAGCAGCUCCUUUUCUACGGUUCAAGAUAAAAAAAAAGCUGCUGUGGCGCCUACAAUAAGAACAACCACUGGCACUAAACUGUUAAAAAAUGCAGGCACAAAUAUUUGUUUCUGGGUUUGUUUGGUUGCUUGUUUGCAAAACUAAUGAAAUUUUUGCCAUAUUCGCCAGUGCGGUGCCUGACCCCAAAAGCAUAAAAACAUAAAAUCUGACCGCAAAAAAUUAAAAGGAGACCGCAAAAAAAUCGACGCCACCUUGAAAGCGGCUGCGGGUAAGGUAAAGAAAUCCGAGGCAAAGAUGGCCACCGGAGACAGAAGGGCCGGGAAUCAGAAGGCAAGUGCCAAAGACAAAGCAAGUGAACGAAGUCAGAGCGCUCCAGCUCCAGAUUAUUAUGUCAAGUCACGUUUAUGAGCGUAAUUUCGACAAGACCCCUUCCAAUCCCGACCCGCUCCGCCAGACGCAGCCACAAUCGCCCCCAGCUGCACGGAGCAUCGGGCAUGCCCACAUCCCCAUUCCCAUCCCCAUCCAAAUUCGCAUCCCCAUCCGGAGGACGCUUGUUAAGCGGCGAACGCGACAUUGCAGCAGUUAAGACACCGCCCGCCGGCAUUCAAUAAGCCGUUAAAAACUCACUAGGAUGGAAGACCCACAAAAACAGAUAUAUUUUGAAGUCUGCUCCAGCCACUUUAGUGCCAUACGAAUGUCUGUAAGUCUUAUGGCCGUGCUUUAAAAAUUAUUCGAAAUUUUCAAAUUAGCUUUUAUUCUUUUUCCUUAAUCAAAGUGUGAUUAUCAACUGUGUAAUUAAAAUACGGCAAUGAAAUUUAGGGAUUGGAAUAAAACUUAUAUUCGGGAAAGACGUCAGAAAUCUUUAACGCAUUGAACAACU
rnacentral:lncRNA from 1 species